AUUGAACGCUGGCGGCAUGCUUUACACAUGCAAGUCGAACGGUAACAGGCCGCAAGGUGCUGACGAGUGGCGCACGGGUGAGUAAUGCAUCGGAACGUGCCCAGUCGUGGGGGAUAACUACUCGAAAGAGUAGCUAAUACCGCAUACGAUCUAUGGAUGAAAGCGGGGGACCGUAAGGCCUCGCGCGAUUGGAGCGGCCGAUGUCAGAUUAGGUAGUUGGUGGGGUAAAGGCUCACCAAGCCAACGAUCUGUAGCUGGUCUGAGAGGACGACCAGCCACACUGGGACUGAGACACGGCCCAGACUCCUACGGGAGGCAGCAGUGGGGAAUUUUGGACAAUGGGCGCAAGCCUGAUCCAGCAAUGCCGCGUGCAGGAAGAAGGCCUUCGGGUUGUAAAAUGCUUUUGUACGGAACGAAACGGCUCUGGUUAAUACCCGGGGCUAAUGACGGUACCGUAAGAAUAAGCACCGGCUAACUACGUG
rnacentral:rRNA from 1 species